rnacentral:rRNA from 1 species
CACGUAGGGUGCGAGCGUUGUCCGGAAUUAUUGGGCGUAAAGAGCUCGUAGGCGGUGUGUCGCGUCGGCCGUGAAAACCUGCAGCUUAACUGUGGGCUUGCGGUCGAUACGGGCAUCACUGGAGUUCGGCAGGGGAGACUGGAAUUCCUGGUGUAGCGGUGAAAUGCGCAGAUAUCAGGAGGAACACCGGUGGCGAAGGCGGGUCUCUGGGCCGAUACUGACGCUGAGGAGUGAAAGCGUGGGGAGCGAACAGG